UACGUAGGGGGCAAGCGUUAUCCGGAAUUACUGGGUGUAAAGGGUGAGUAGGCGGCAUGGUAAGCCAGAUGUGAAAGCCUUGGGCUUAACCCGAGGAUUGCAUUUGGAACUAUCAAGCUAGAGUACAGGAGAGGAAAGCGGAAUUCCUAGUGUAGCGGUGAAAUGCGUAGAUAUUAGGAAGAACACCAGUGGCGAAGGCGGCUUUCUAGACUGAAACUGACGCUGAGGCACGAAAGCGUGGGGAGCGAACAGG
rnacentral:rRNA from 1 species